rnacentral:rRNA from 1 species
CGCAAGAUUAAAACUCAAAUGAAUUGACGGGGGCCCGCACAAGCGGUGGAGCAUGUGGUUUAAUUCGAUGCAACGCGAAGAACCUUACCUACUCUUGACAUCCAGAGAACUUUCCAGAGAUGGAUUGGUGCCUUCGGGAACUCUGAGACAGGUGCUGCAUGGCUGUCGUCAGCUCGUGUUGUGAAAUGUUGGGUUAAGUCCCGCAACGAGCGCAACCCUUAUCCUUGUUUGCCAGCGAGUAAUGUCGGGAACUCCAGGGAGACUGCCGGUGAUAAACCGGAGGAAGGUGGGGACGACGUCAAGUCAUCAUGGCCCUUACGAGUAGGGCUACACACGUGCUACAAUGGCGCAUACAGAGGGCGGCCAACUUGCGAAAGUGAGCGAAUCCCAAAAAGUGCGUCGUAGUCCGGAUUGGAGUCUGCAACUCGACUCCAUGAAGUCGGAAUCGCUAGUAAUCGUGGAUCAGAAUGCCACGGUGAAUACGUUCCCGGGCCUUGUACACACCGCCCGUCACACCAUGGGAGUGGGCUGCAAAAGAAGUGGGUAGUUUAACCUUCGGGAGGACGCUCA